ensembl:miRNA
GAGGGAGCCGUAGAGCAGGGAGCAGGGAGCUGUGUGUGUCCAGCCCUGACCUGUCCUGUUCUGCCCCCAGCCCCUC